rnacentral:misc_RNA from 1 species
GGAGAAGGGGAUUUCUCUUGUUUUGUCUCUCUGGGGCUUCAUUUCUUACUUCCAUGGUGAACUCCAGCAAAACAAGAAACUUAGAAUCAGGCUUCAAAAUUAGGAGAAGUUCGAUCAUAUGUUGGAUAUAUGUAAUAAGUGCUUGUAUAUGUUUGUUACCAAGUUUCAGAUUGAGAGACAAUUGUUAUCAUGUGACCAUGCCUGAUUUAAAACUUCAGUUGGACAGAAC